rnacentral:rRNA from 1 species
GUUUAAGUACAUGCAGUAUUAAGACGAAACCGCGAAAGGCUAAUGAAAUCAGUUAUGGCUUUUUGGAUCUUAUCUUACUGCUUGAAUAACUGUAGCAAUUGUAGUGCUAUUAUAUGCAGCAGAUUUCCGACCUUCGGAAAGAAGCGGUUUUAUUGAACCAAAACCAAUCUAAGGAUCUGCUUUGGAGGGAAAAAUAUCCAAGGGCGCUUUGGGUAUUUUUCACUCCAAAACAGUUCAAAACUCCAAUGGUAUCAUAAAUGUCUCUGUUUCUACAUAUGCGCUCCAG